AAGGGGAGCAAUCCCUGAGUAUAGUGGCGACCGGGUGAGUAACACGUGACUACCUGCCCUUGAGUGGGGGAUAACCUCGGGAAACCGAGGCUAAUACCGCAUAAUAUCGCAAGAUCAAAGGAGCAAUCCGCUUUUGGAGGGGGUCGCGGCUGAUUAGCUAGUUGGUAGGGUAAUGGCCUACCAAGGCGAAGAUCGGUAUCCGGCCUGAGAGGGCGCACGGACACACUGGAACUGAAACACGGUCCAGACUCCUACGGGAGGCAGCAGUGGGGAAUUUUGCGCAAUGGGGGAAACCCUGACGCAGCAACGCCGCGUGGAGGAUGAAGGCCCUUGGG
rnacentral:rRNA from 1 species